rnacentral:rRNA from 1 species
UGGCGGCGUGCCUACACAUGCAAGUCGAACGGGAAAGCGGGGGCAACCCUGUGAGUAUAGUGGCGUACGGGUGAGUAACACGUGACUACCUACCCUCGAGUGGGGGAUAACCCCGGGAAACCGGGGCUAAUACCGCAUAACAUCGCAAGAUCAAAGGAGCAAUUCGCUUGAGGAGGGGGUCGCGGCUGAUUAACUAGUUGGUGAGGUAACGGCCCACCAAGGCGAUGAUCGGUAGCCGGCCUGAGAGGGCGCACGGCCACACUGGAACUGAAACACGGUCCAGACUCCUACGGGAGGCAGCAGUGGGGAAUUUUGCGCAAUGGGGGAAACCCUGACGCAGCAACGCCGCGUGGAGGAUGAAGUCCCUUGGGACGUAAACUCCUUUCGACCCGGACGAUGAUGACGGUACGGGUGGAAGAAGCACCGGCUAACUUCGCGCCAGCAGCCGCGGUAAUACGAGGGGUGCGAGCGUUGUUCGGAAUUAUUGGGCGUAAAGGGCGCGUANGCGGUGCGGUAAGUCACCUGUGAAAUCUC